GUGACUUGGAGGGUGAGGCAACGCUUCACAGAAGAGUUGGCACCUGAACACACAGGGUUUUGAAAGAUGAAUAGGCCUAGGACAAUUGGACACAGGAUCAAAGGGCAUCCAGGAUUGUGCAAAACACUGGCAGAAACAUCACAGAUUGAAAACUGCUGGAAGAACGCAUUCACCGUCAGUGAAGGAAAGCUGGUCUGGUGCACUCUCAAGCUUUCCAAGAAAAAAAACCAAGUUUUCAAAUAAAAGCAGAGGAGGAAAGUUUCACCAGUGCUUGUUCUGAGAAACCUCUUAGCCUCUCUUUGCUUUGUUUUGCUCUUUCUGUUUUGCUUCCCUCUUAAAGAGUGCUGGCUUAAAACCUCAGUGAAAGAAAAGUACUUCAACUUUACUGUGGAAAAAGGAAACUGAAAAGUAGGCAAAGGCCAAGGGAUACAUUUUUUUAAACAUUCACUCUUUCCUGGAAUAUACAAAUGAAGCAAAAUUACAAAUUCAUGUAUUAUGGGUCUGAAAUAUUUAUUCCAAUUCUUUUCUCCACCAGCUCCAUAAAUAUUUAUUCUAUGCCCACUGCUUGUUAGUUUCUGGGAUACCAGGCCGAUGAGGCAGUCUCUUCCUCUCCUCCUUUGAGCAAGCUUGUGCUUGCAAUCCUGUAUAAGAAAUAAGAGGAGGGCAACAACUUGUAUCUUGUGCCUUCUACACAUGCCAACCAUAGCCUGAAGUUCACAGCAAAGUUAAAUUCCAGUUAAGUAAACCAGUGAGGUCAUAAUACACUUAAAUAACAACUGAGACGUGAGAAACUAACAGAGAUCCUCAGCAUGACUAAGAGAUAUCGUGAAAUUACAACUCAACAAUGAAUUACAGCACAGGCUUUUCACAACUAAGAGACUGUCCAUCAUGGUGCCAGUUUUUCUCAAAAUGGCAUGUGUGCAUGAAAUUCUACAGGCAUAUGGGGUCGUGAUCUGCUAAUCUCCAGUUAUUAUAACUACUUUGAAAAGGGACUUUCCAGCUAUCAGUACACUAUCUCACAAUUACCCUUGAACCAGAAGACAAUGAAUGAUUUGCUAAACAGAUGGCAUAGUCUAUGACAUGCAUCAUAUGUGUGAGCAAUCACAGAAGACUCCUUCCUGUUGCCUUGUGAAGAAGGCUCCUGCUUCCCCUUCACCUUCUGCGCGAUUGUAAGUUUCCUGAGGCCUCCUAGCCAUGCUUCUUGUUCACUCUGCGGAACUGUCCUGAGCUGAAAAGAAUAUGAGAAAUCGGAUUUUACGACAUACCAAAUUAUGAUUGUAUGUCCCAGAAAUUCACUUAGAAGCUAAUAGAAAAAAUGAAACCAAAGCCUUUUGAUAAGCAGAGGAGAUUUGGGAAGUCAAAGUUCAAUCAAAGUCAUUUGGAUGAAAUAGGAAGAAGGCAUUAUGAGAAUGUGAACUAUGACUUGGAAUCCUCCAGGCUUUGGCUUCCAUCACACUCCAUGAACUUGAUGCACAUAAUUUAAUGUAGGCCUCCACCCAAUAUCAUCAGUUCUCUUGCAUGUUGAACCCCCAGUUUCCUGGAUCUGACCAACAUGACCUUAAUGUUCCUAUCAGCUCGACUAAACUUUAAAGAGAUUUCUUCCUCAAUAUGGGCCUCUAACUUCCCUUUUCUUAGAGCAUUUACUUUAGAAAUUUUGCAAUUAUCAAUUUUUUCUCCCUAUUUUUGAGAUGUAAAUUUUCUACAACUCAGGAAUGUCUUUCUCAAGGACAUGAGAGAUAUCCCUUUGAAAUGUAAUUGUGAAAAAUGAUAGCACCUCUAUUUCAAUCUGUGUAGGAGAGUAGGAGCCUAACUCAGGUAAGUGACAUUUAGCAAACUCAGAUGGCCUAAACACAUUCACCAACUUCCCCACUAAUGUACUCCCUACUGGUUCAUGUCAGCAUUUAAUAAUCCUUCUGCUUUCUUUUCAGUGGAGCUGAGUUCAGUCUGUCUCUCUUCUGCAGUGGUCUUCUCUCCCAUUGCAAUGGUCUUGAGUAAAGUGUUCUUUGUUUGUUUUACUUGGAGAUGAUGUCAGUUCAAUAUUGAAGUCUCUCUUCCCUACUACAGUAGUUCAAAUAAAAUCCAUCUUGCCAUUCUUAACAAGUAUUGGUAUAAUUUCUCUUUAACAUUUCUCGUGUCUUUCUCUUAAUUGGUUUCUUCUCUUGUUUUACAGAGCAUGUUAGUCACUAGUUUCUUAAGUCUGAUGAAUGUGCUUUCAUUACAUUUUUAUAUUAAUUGACUGAUAUUUUGGAUGGACACAUUUAUACUGCUUGGUUAAAUACGAUUUUCUCUCAGAAUCAUGUGGAAAUUUCUCCGUUAUUUUCUAGUUUCUGUUUUUGCAGUUGAGAAGUCCAAUAUCAUUUUGCUUCCCUACAUUUUUAAAAAAUGUAACCUGUUUCCAUUCUUUCUUUCUUUUGGUAUUUUGCAUCUGUUUUUAAAAAAGCAAUGAUAUAGUUCCAAAACCAUUGAAGAGUAUAAAGGAUAUUAUAAUAACGUCAUUAUACCCACCAC
rnacentral:lncRNA from 1 species